GGGAAUAUUCCACAAUGGGCGAAAGCCUGAUGGAGCAACGCCGCGUGAGUGAAGAAGGUUUUCGGAUCGUAAAACUCUGUUGUAAGGGAAGAACAAGUACAGUAGUAACUGGCUGUACCUUGACGGUACCUUAUUAGAAAGCCACGGCUAACUACGUGCCAGCAGCCGCGGUAAUACGUAGGUGGCAAGCGUUGUCCGGAAUUAUUGGGCGUAAAGCGCGCGCAGGCGGUCCUUUAAGUCUGAUGUGAAAGCCCACGGCUCAACCGUGGAGGGUCAUUGGAAACUGGGGGACUUGAGUGCAGAAGAGGAAAGUGGAAUUCCAAGUGUAGCGGUGAAAUGCGUAGAGAUUUGGAGGAACACCAGUGGCGAAGGCGACUUUCUGGUCUGUAACUGACGCUGAGGCGCGAAAGCGUGGGGAGCAAACAGGAUUAGAUACCCUGGUAGUCCACGCCGUAAACGAUGAGUGCUAAGUGUUAGGGGGUUUCCGCCCCUUAGUGCUGCAGCUAACGCAUUAAGCAC
rnacentral:rRNA from 2 species